CCAGCCCUGGAUUCCAAGUCCUCCCACUCAGUGAUUAGCACUGAACACAGAACACUCACCAUGGACUUGAGGCUCGGCUGGUUCUUCCUUGUCUUUAUUUUAAAAGGUGUCCAGUGUGAAGUGCAGCUGGUGGAGUCUGGGGGAGGCCUAUUGCAGCCUGGAAAGUCCCUGAAACUCUCCUGUGCAGCCUCUGGAUUCACCUUCAGUAGCUAUGACAUGAACUGGGUCCGCCAGGCUCCAGGAAAGGGACUAGAGUGGGUUGCUUACAUUAGUAGUGGUAGUGGUUACAUCUACUAUGCCAAUGCCGUGAAGGGCCGAUUCACCGUCUCCAGAGACAAUGCCAAGAACACCCUAUACCUGGAAAUGAGCAGUUUGAAAUCUGAAGACACAGCCAUGUAUUAUUGUACCAGAAGCACAGUGAUACAAAUUUACUGUGGACUCAGACACAAACCUCCCUGCAGGAUGCUCAGGACCAGCAGGGGGCGCUGAUAGGACAG